UACGUAGGGUGCAGGCGUUAAUCGGAAUUACUGGGCGUAAAGCGUGCGCAGGCGGUUUGCUAAGACAGGUGUGAAAUCCCCGGGCUUAACCUGGGAACUGCGCUUGUAACUGGCAAGCUAGAGUGUGGCAGAGGGGGGUGGAAUUCCUGGUGUAGCGGUGAAAUGCACAGAUAUCAGGAGGAACACCGGUGGCGAAGGCGGUGCUCUGGGCCGGAACUGACGCUGAGACGCGAAAGCGUGGGGAGCGAACAGG
rnacentral:rRNA from 1 species